GACGAAGGAUGCAAGCGUUAUCCGGAAUCAUUGGGUUUAAAGGGUCCGUAGGCGGUUUAGUAAGUCAGUGGUGAAAUCCCAUCGCUCAACGGUGGAACGGCCAUUGAUACUGCUAGACUUGAAUUAUUAGGAAGUAACUAGAAUAUGUAGUGUAGCGGUGAAAUGCUUAGAGAUUACAUGGAAUACCAAUUGCGAAGGCAGGUUACUACUAAUGGAUUGACGCUGAUGGACGAAAGCGUGGGUAGCGAACAGG
rnacentral:rRNA from 1 species